GUGUGCGUAGCUCAGUGGUUAAAGCGCUUGCCGGAAGGCCUAGGCUCCGUUGAGAGCGAGUCUACUCGCUCUCAAUGGACCAAACUUCGAAGCGAGAAUCGCGUGUUCGAUCCACGCCGCGUCA